CUCGCGAGAUUUUACGAUAAUUUUCACUUCCUCGCACAUGGUCAUGGUGAAUGUGUAUUGAGUUCAGCAUGUUUCUGGUUUACACACAGCUUUCAGGGGGAAAUUAAAUAGUUUUACAAAGCCGAAGGGUUGUCCGACUUACGAUGUAUGAAUUUCAUGUCAUAAGAAAUUGGGUGCGAGCGUCCACCAGGAAUAUUUCGAUCGAAAUACAGAUUUCUCUUGAAUCCGAGAUGUUAUUCAUCAGCUGAUUAUAGAGGAGGAGUUUUGUCAUUGAUGGGAACCAACGUCAUAUUUAUGAUAUUGUGGCUGCAUCACUUUUGUUUGGCAGAGGUACAAGAGAACCAGUAACACAGAUAAAAGAUGCAGUUCCUAAGAGAUCCAAAGUCAGCAGCACCUAAGACUAUACUGAUCAUGACUUUGAAUUAUCAGCAUCCAAAACAAUGCAAAUCAAAUACAGGUAUGAAAUUGAUGCAACAAA